GCGCGUGGACGACCUCGUGGUGGACUACGAGGACGGGGACGACCCCG
rnacentral:ncRNA from 1 species